UGUACGUACAAGCAGUGGGAGCACAGAGCAAUCUGUGUGACUGCGUACCUUUUGUAUAAUGGGUCAGCGACUUAUAUUCUGUAGCAAGGUUAACCGAAUAGGGGAGCCGAAGGGAAACCGAGUCUUAACUGGGCGUUAAGUUGCAGGGUAUAGACCCGAAACCCGGUGAUCUAGCCAUGGGCAGGUUGAAGGUUGGGUAACACUAACUGGAGGACCGAACCGACUAAUGUUGAAAAAUUAGCGGAUGACUUGUGGCUGGGGGUGAAAGGCCAAUCAAACCGGGAGAUAGCUGGUUCUCCCCGAAAGCUAUUUAGGUAGCGCCUCGUGAAUUCAUCUCCGGGGGUAGAGCACUGUUUCGGCAAGGGGGUCAUCCCGACUUACCAACCCGAUGCAAACUGCGAAUACCGGAGAAUGUUAUCACGGGAGACACACGGCGGGUGCUAACGUCCGUCGUGAAGAGGGAAACAACCCAGACCGCCAGCUAAGGUCCCAAAGUCAUGGUUAAGUGGGAAACGAUGUGGGAAGGCCCAGACAGCCAGGAUGUUGGCUUAGAAGCAGCCAUCAUUUAAAGAAAGCGUAAUAGCUCACUGGUCGAGUCGGCCUGCGCGGAAGAUGUAACGGGGCUAAACCAUGCACCGAAGCUGCGGCAGCGACGCUGAUGCGUUGUUGGGUAGGGGAGCGUUCUGUAAGCCUGUGAAGGUGUGCUGUGAGGCAUGCUGGAGGUAUCAGAAGUGCGAAUGCUGACAUAAGUAACGAUAAAGCGGGUGAAAAGCCCGCUCGCCGGAAGACCAAGGGUUCCUGUCCAACGUUAAUCGGGGCAGGGUGAGUCGACCCCUAAGGCGAGGCCGAAAGGCGUAGUCGAUGGGAAACAGGUUAAUAUUCCUGUACUUGGUGUUACUGCGAAGGGGGGACGGAGAAGGCUAUGUUGGCCGGGCGACGGUUGUCCCGGUUUAAGCGUGUAGGCUGGUUUUCCAGGCAAAUCCGGAAAACUAAGGCUGAGGCGUGAUGACGAGGCACUACGGUGCUGAAGCAACAAAUGCCCUGCUUCCAGGAAAAGCCUCUAAGCAUCAGGUAACAUCAAAUCGUACCCCAAACCGACACAGGUGGUCAGGUAGAGAAUACCAAGGCGCUUGAGAGAACUCGGGUGAAGGAACUAGGCAAAAUGGUGCCGUAACUUCGGGAGAAGGCACGCUGAUAUGUAGGUGAAGUCCCUCGCGGAUGGAGCUGAAAUCAGUCGAAGAUACCAGCUGGCUGCAACUGUUUAUUAAAAACACAGCACUGUGCAAACACGAAAGUGGACGUAUACGGUGUGACGCCUGCCCGGUGCCGGAAGGUUAAUUGAUGGGGUCAGCGCAAGCGAAGCUCUUGAUCGAAGCCCCGGUAAACGGCGGCCGUAACUAUAACGGUCCUAAGGUAGCGAAAUUCCUUGUCGGGUAAGUUCCGACCUGCACGAAUGGCGUAAUGAUGGCCAGGCUGUCUCCACCCGAGACUCAGUGAAAUUGAACUCGCUGUGAAGAUGCAGUGUACCCGCGGCAAGACGGAAAGACCCCGUGAACCUUUACUAUAGCUUGACACUGAACAUUGAGCCUUGAUGUGUAGGAUAGGUGGGAGGCUUUGAAGUGUGGACGCCAGUCUGCAUGGAGCCGACCUUGAAAUACCACCCUUUAAUGUUUGAUGUUCUAACGUUGACCCGUAAUCCGGGUUGCGGACAGUGUCUGGUGGGUAGUUUGACUGGGGCGGUCUCCUCCUAAAGAGUAACGGAGGAGCACGAAGGUUGGCUAAUCCUGGUCGGACAUCAGGAGGUUAGUGCAAUGGCAUAAGCCAGCUUGACUGCGAGCGUGACGGCGCGAGCAGGUGCGAAAGCAGGUCAUAGUGAUCCGGUGGUUCUGAAUGGAAGGGCCAUCGCUCAACGGAUAAAAGGUACUCCGGGGAUAACAGGCUGAUACCGCCCAAGAGUUCAUAUCGACGGCGGUGUUUGGCACCUCGAUGUCGGCUCAUCACAUCCUGGGGCUGAAGUAGGUCCCAAGGGUAUGGCUGUUCGCCAUUUAAAGUGGUACGCGAGCUGGGUUUAGAACGUCGUGAGACAGUUCGGUCCCUAUCUGCCGUGGGCGCUGGAGAACUGAGGGGGGCUGCUCCUAGUACGAGAGGACCGGAGUGGACGCAUCACUGGUGUUCGGGUUGUCAUGCCAAUGGCACUGCCCGGUAGCUAAAUGCGGAAGAGAUAAGUGCUGAAAGCAUCUAAGCACGAAACUUGCCCCGAGAUGAGUUCUCCCUGACUCCUUGAGAGUCCUGAAGGAACGUUGAAG
rnacentral:rRNA from 1 species